CAUGCGGCAUUCCCUCUCUGUUUUGCCUCCAGAAAUGUUCAUCAAAAAUAAUUCCCUCUUUUUGGCUUAACUUCUUCAUCGAUUGCUACCAAUUAAAACCUAAUUAAUUCAAUUUCCCUACCUUCAAAAUUUCUUGUGGAUCCCAUGAUUGCAAUCGCAAUCUCUUCAUCUGCCACGGUAUUGAUUUUAAAUCAAUAAAUUCCUGCCUAAUCUACUGCGUACAGAUUGUGUUCUUCAAGCAGUCGUAAAGGUAUAGAUGUAGGACACUUGCCAAGGACUCUCGAUAUCACCCUACUCGAGGAGAAUGUAAACAAAUUAAAGACAUCUUGUAUCAUUCGUACAAUUCGAGAGAAAAUUUGAGUUUUAUACAAUUCAAUGAACUUCGAGUAGAUUUGAAAGACUCGAGAUUGGAAAAUUAUACUAAUAGACUAUACAAUGGAAGGUAUAGAGAAUUUAAAGCUGUGUUGAGUGCAUACUAUAAGUUGCAGAAGACACAUGAGAAUACAUUAGCCAACCUCCCUCUGGAGAUGCUCGAUAGAGGUGCAAAUCAAUGGGUGGACCUGUGUAAUCAUUUGAACUCCAAUAAGUUCAAGGUAUUUAUUGUGUAAUUAUUUACCAGUUCACAGCCAACCUCCCUUUGGAGAUGCUCGAUAGAGGUGCAAAUCAAUGGGUGGACCUGUGUAAUCAUUUGAACUCCAAUAAGUUCAAGAAAGCAUCAUCAGCAAACAUAGUGAAUCGAUCGAAGAAGAAAUACAACCAUCUAUUGGUUCACGUCCUUUCUCAUACAUAGUGGAGAAGAUGACUGAGGAUGGUUCAAAGUUUCCCGAAGUCAACACAUUUGAGUUCGCUUAUGUUGGGAAGAACAAUUGUUGGACUUGUAAUGCAGUUAAAGCUCAACAUAUAAGAAAUACUCAACAUUAUAAAAUUGUUUUCUUAGCUUGAGAGAUGAUUAUAUUUCUUAGCUUGUGCUAUAUCUCUUGUGUGCAGUUGUGUUAUCUAUUGCAAACUUUGAUUUUAUGGACUGUUUUAUAUAUCUUGGUGGUUGUGUUUGUAGGAUGAGACGCUUUUCAAAGAGUAUGAAUAUCUUAUAGAGAGGGCAAAGGAACAACAACUUCCCAAAGAUAACCCUUUGGAAGAGAUACCGAUAGAUGAUCCUGAUGUCAAAAUUAAUAUCAUGAUGUCCGUUCUAGGUACAAAGCCCUGCCGUCGAAUUCUUGGGUUAGGAGAUGGUUGCCUUCGAGACAUUGCAAUACUUUCUUCCAAUGUACACACUUUGGGGAAGGAGUUGGAAGCAGAAUGUGCUGCUCGAAAGGUAGCCAAUGCAGCUCGAGUAAACAUGGAGCAAAACAAGCUAAAGGUUUUUGAGCAACAAUUCAAUUCUACAUUACAAUCUUGGUAUCAUUCUAUGCACCAACUAUGUGGUAAAGUUCCUGGCUUUAUUGUACCACCAUUUAUACCGUUGUCAAUAGAGAAUACUGGUAAUGGGAAAGAUGAUGCUAUUGAAGAUGAAGAGAAUGACUUCGGUGAGAAUCAGUGCAUGUCUAAUUUACGAGACUGAAGAGUCAUUUUUUAUUUGCAUAACAAUAGAUAUAUAGCAUGUCUCUGCUUAUUUUAACUUUAGAUGUAAUCAUACUUGGUGAAAAUCAUUUAUUCAUGUUUUGAUGAAAUAUUUUGAAUUCAAUGUUGAUUGACAUUACGUUUUAA